CCCUUAGAUGUUCUGGGUCGCACGCGUGCUACACUGAGUGGAUCAGCGGGUCAGGUUGCGCGAAAGCGUUUCCUAAUCUUUAAAUCCGCUCGUGAUGGGGAUUGACGGUUGCAAUUUUCUGUCAUGAACGAGGAAUACCUUGUAAGCGCGGGUCAUCAUCCCGCGCUGAAUACGUCCCUGCCCUUUGUACACACCGCCCGUCGCUCCUACCGAUUGAGUGGUCCGGUGAGGCUUUGGGAUCUGAGCGGAAAGAGCGUUUCGCUGUUUCUGCUCGGAAAACUCAGUCGAACCUUAUCAUUUAGAGGAAGGAGAAGUCGUAACA
rnacentral:rRNA from 1 species